GGGAGGAAGGCUCUUGGGUUGUAAACCUCUUUUCUCUGGGAAGAUAAUGACGGUACCAGAGGAAUAAGCCUCGGCUAACUCCGUGCCAGCAGCCGCGGUAAUACGGAGGAGGCAAGCGUUAUCCGGAAUUAUUGGGCGUAAAGCGUCCGUAGGUGGUUAAUCAAGUCAGAUGUUAAAGAGCGGAGCUCAACUCCGUUAGAGCGGUUGAAACUGAUUGACUAGAGUUUGGUAGGGGUCGAGGGAAUUCCCAGUGUAGCGGUGAAAUGCGUAGAUAUUGGGAAGAACACCGGUGGCGAAAGCGCUCGACUGGGCCUGAACUGACACUGAGGGACGAAAGCUAGGGGAGCGAAAGGGAUUAGAUACCCCUGUA
rnacentral:rRNA from 1 species